CUGACAUGCGUGCGAGUCGACGGGUUCUGAAACCUGGGAUGCGCAAGGAAGCUGACGAGCGGGAGGCCCUCACGGGCCACACCGCUGGCCGACCCUGAUCUUCUGUGAAGGGUUCGAGUUGGAGCACGCCUGUCGGGACCCGAAAGAUGGUGAACUAUGCCUGAGCGGGGCGAAGCCAGAGGAAACUCCGGUGGAGGCUCGAAGCGAUACUGACGUGCAAAUCGUUCGUCUGACUUGGGUAUAGGGGCGAAAGACUAAUCGAACCAUCUAGUAGCUGG
rnacentral:rRNA from 1 species